rnacentral:rRNA from 1 species
CAAUAGCGUAUAUUAAAGUUGUUGCAGUUAGAACGCUCGUAGUCGGAUUUCGGGGCGGGCCGACCGGUCUGCCGAUGGGUAUGCACUGGUCGGCGCGUCCUUCCUUCCGGAGACCGUCCCUACUCUUAACUGAGCGGGGGCGGGAGACGGGACUUUUACUUUGAAAAAAUCAGAGUGUUUCAAGCAGGCAGCUCGCUCUUGCAUGGAUUAGCAUGGGAUAAUGAAAUAGGACUUUGGUGCUAUUUUGUUGGUUUCGAACACCGAAGUAAUGAUUAACAGGGACAGUCAGGGGCACUCGUAUUCCGCCGAGAGAGGUGAAAUUCUCAGACCAGCGGAAGACGAACCACUGCGAAAGCAUUUGCCAGGGAUGUUUUCACUG